rnacentral:rRNA from 1 species
AUUGAACGCUGGCGGCAGGCCUAACACAUGCAAGUCGAGCGAGCGGCGGACGGGUGAGUAAUGUCUGGGAAACUGCCUGAUGGAGGGGGAUAACUCCUGGAAACGGUAGCUAAUACCGCAUACCAUCAGAUGUGCCCAGAUGGGAUUAGCUAGGAGGUGGGGUAACGGCUCACCUAGGCGACGAUCCCUAGCUGGUCUGAGAGGAUGACCAGAAACACUGGAACUGAGAGACGGUCCAGACGCCUGCGGGAGGCAGCAGUGGGGAAUAUAGCACAAUGGGCUCAAGUCGGAUGCAGCCAUGCCGCGUGUGUGAAGAAGGCCUUCGGGUUGUAAAGCACUUACAGCGGGGGGGCUUUACCCGCAGAAGAAGCACCGGCUAACUCCGUGACAGCGGCCGCGGUAAUAC